rnacentral:rRNA from 1 species
UACGGGGGGGGCAAGCGUUGUUCGGAAUUACUGGGCGUAAAGGGCUCGUAGGCGGCCAACUAAGUCAGACGUGAAAUCCCUCGGCUUAACCGGGGAACUGCGUCUGAUACUGGAUGGCUUGAGUUUGGGAGAGGGACGCGGAAUUCCAGGUGUAGCGGUGAAAUGCGUUGAUAUCCUAAGGAACACCGGUGGCGAAAGCGGCUCACUGGAUCGCUUCUGACGCUGAGGCGCGAAAGCUAGGGUAGCGAACGGG